rnacentral:RNase_P_RNA from 1 species
UUGGAAGGGCGGAGGAUCGCUCCCGGCGCAAGUUGGGGGAGGAAAGUCCGAACUCCACAGGGCGCGAUGCCGCGUAACCCUGAAUGAUUUCGGGGAUAAACGCGGGCAGCGACGCCGCGAGGCGUCCUGACGGAAAGUGCCACAGAAAAUUAAACCGCCCUGGAGAUUUCAAAUUUCAAAUGUGAGAUCUCCGGAGCAAGGGUGAAAAGGUGGAGUAAGAGCCCACCGCCCCAAGAGCAAUCGCGGGGGCACGGAAAACCCCAUCGGGAGCAAGGCCAAAUAGGAAACCGCGGAGUGGCCCGCUCCAAGGCCAGAGUAGGGCAGGCUUCCAGCCUGCCCAGAAGAAGGCGGGACACCCGCCCUACUCUGGCCCGGUUUCGGGUACUGGCCGCUAAGAUAAAUGAUUCUCUCCCCCGGCCUCGGCCGGGGCAGACAGAAUUCGGCUUACAGCCCUUCCAAGGUC